rnacentral:misc_RNA from 1 species
UUUGUGUGUGUGCGUGUGUGCCUGAGGGUGCUUUUCCCACACUUGCAUACGGCGUCGCCGACCCCCCGCCCCCGCUCGUUCGCUCUUUGCUUGCGUUGACGCGAGAGGCGAAGGAGAGAGAACCAUUGCAUGCCCUUGCGUGAUACACGCGCAUACCCCAACACCCUGCAAGUCUGCACGAGGAUGCUUGCUCAUCGCGGCACAAUUGCCAAGGAUGGCGAUGUAGUGCUGGUCGUGCAUGGCCACCAGAACAUCACCCCUCUAGUGCUGCAGCGCGGCGCUGUUCUGCACUGCAAGGCCGGCAAGUUUGACCACAACAGCAUCAUUGGCCGCCCCCUCGGUAUAUAUGUUAAGGGACGCAGCAAUCAGAAAAACGACCCGCGGGAGUCGUCGGUGCUCAUUCUGCAGAACAGCGCAGACAUGUGGACGCAGGCGGUGCCGCACCGCACGCAGAUCAUUUACGAUACCGACAUCGCCGUCAUCCUUUUAAACCUGCGCCUCGGACCUGGUAAGAAGGUGGUGGAGGCGGGGACGGGUAGCGGAAGCCUGACCCACUCCUUGGCCAAGGCAGUAGCCCCGAGCGGGUGCGUGUACACCUGUGACUUUCACAAGCAACGCUGCCUGGAGGCGCGUGCCGAGUUUCGUGGCAACGGCCUCGACUCGCACCUAGUAUGCAGUCAGUGGCGGGACGUGUGCACGACCAACACGGGCGCCGCUGACGUCGUCGACGGCGUUGAUGCGGAUGUCGCGGCGAUGGAGGCGCCGCUCACCGGCUUUGGUGUGCCGGCAGCUUCUGUAGACGCCAUCUUCCUCGAUGUCCCCGCACCAUGGGCGGCCAUCGAGAACGUUUGCCACGUGCUCAAGGAGGGUGGGAUGCUGUGCACCUUCUCGCCUUGCAUGGAGCAGACGCAGCGGACGGUGGAGGCACUGCGGGCUGCUCCGCACCACUUCGUCGACAUCCGCACAGUGGAAGCCCUCACGAAGUUCUUCGAACCCGUCUUCAAGCGUGCACGCGAUACACGCGAUCGCGACUGCACCAAGUUCCGCGCGAGCUUCGUGUCGAAGGGUCAUAGCGCCUACUUGACCUUCGCGCGGCGGCGCCUGGCCAAGUCGGAAAGGCUCGAGGUGGAAAAGGUGCUCGAGGUGAAUGGCGCGGAGAAGGAUGGCGUGAAAGGAGCAUCAACGGCUUAGUGCCGCGUCGCUGUCUCCCGCUCUCUCUUCAUUCACUAAGCGCGCUCGCCCCCCCCCCUCCCGACGGUGGUGCCACACUCGUGCACAACGUAGCAAUGGGCGCGUAAACAAGUACGCGGCAUGCGCACGGGGCCAUGCCUAAAAAAAUGCGACACAAGGGUGAAAUGAGCGGCAUCAGAGGAAAAGGAGGGGCAUGCACGCGCAGCGGGUGUGGCGGUGGGGAGGACGGUGAUAUUUGAGGCCCGGCGCGAGCUCCGCCAGCACUGCUGUUUUCCUUCAACACCGAUGUGCGGGGUGCUGUGCAGGUUGAAGCAGAAAGCAAUUG